AGGGUUGUAGCUGAGUGGAAGAGCACCUGCCUUGCAUGCCGAAGAGCCCAGGUUCAAUCCCCGCCAUCUCCA